UCCGUGUAUGCAUGUGGGUGUCUUACUAAU
rnacentral:piRNA from 1 species